rnacentral:rRNA from 1 species
AACGAACGCUGGCGGCAUGCCUAACACAUGCAAGUCGAACGAGACCUUCGGGUCUAGUGGCGCACGGGUGCGUAACGCGUGGGAACCUGCCCUUAGGUUCGGAAUAACUCCCCGAAAGGGGUGCUAAUACCGGAUAAUGUCUUCGGACCAAAGAUUUAUCGCCUUUGGAUGGGCCCGCGUUGGAUUAGCUAGUUGGUAGGGUAAAAGCCUACCAAGGCGACGAUCCAUAGCUGGUCUGAGAGGAUGAUCAGCCACACUGGGACUGAGACACGGCCCAGACUCCUCCGGGAGGGAGCAGUGGGGAAUAUGGGACAGGGGGCGAAAGCCUGAACCAGCAAUGCCGGGUGGGUGAUGAAGGCCUUAGGGUUGUAAAGCUUUUUUACCCGGGAUGAUAAUGACGGUACCGGGAGAAAAAGCCCCGGCAAACUCCGG